rnacentral:ncRNA from 1 species
AAGAGUGUACAAAAUGAGUGCGCGGUUUGGCACCUCGAUGUCGGCUUAACUUAUCCUCAUGGACGCAGAAACUAUGUAGGGUACGACUGUUCGUCGAUUAAAAAGUUACACGAGCUGGGUUAAAUACGUCGUGAGACAGUAUGGUUUCUAUCUUCUAGGGGGAAUUGGAAUAAAAUAAGGAUUAACCUUUGUACGAAAGGAACAGGACAAGCUUAACCCAAAAGGUUAGGUAUUAUUAAUUAUUAAUCUAUGGUUUACCUGUUGUUUAUAAGCCCAAUAUUAAUAUUUGUAAAAUUUACAAGGAGGUUACUCUAAGUAAAACUUACAGGGAUGUUACUCUCACUUAAGUAAAUAUAUAUAUUAUAGGCACGGCAGGAAAGCUAAGUUAGUUAAAGAUAAGUGCUGAAAGCAUAUAGGCACGAAGCUUACCUUAAGAUAUUUCUAACAUAUUAUCGUA